rnacentral:siRNA from 1 species
AGAGCACUAGGUGAGGUCGAGUGA